rfam:Rhizophagus irregularis DAOM 181602 strain DAOM 197198 GLOINscaffold_4832_Cont4827 mitochondrial, whole genome shotgun sequence.
GUCGGGAUAGUAUAAGGGUUAAUACGCACGUUUCAUAUACGUGAGUUAGAGGUUCGAAUCCUCUUCCCGAUA